GGCCGCAUGGCGCAAUGGUCAAGCGCCUGGCUUACAUUGGUAUGGGAUACUAAUAGUGCGUAGGUUCAAAUCCCACUGUAGUCA